CAAUAGUGACCCGGCCUUGUUCUAAAAUCAUUUGACCGAGAAUGGCCGAGAGGAGAGAAGAUUUUCCGGAUCCCACUGUUCCACAAACGGCAACCAAACGGCCCUUUACAGGUACGACGAGGUUGAUGCUGAUGAGCACAGGGAUCGAUUUUGGCUGGACCAAUGAUGUGAGCACUUCCUUCUCUAUGUCACCUUGCCCGCAACAGCAGCAGAUGCGACUCCAUCUUAACCGCAAAAAAACGAAUGAAACAAGAGCUUUAAAUUUAAAGGAGAACAAACAACUGGAUUACAAAUUUCGGUUGCGUUUAGCCCUGGUCGUAGUUAGGGCACUUUCUCGCCAGACGAACGAUCCAUUGUAAAUUGAUAACGCAAUGCUCCGAUCAAUUGGCUUCUCCGAGAAAGGCUUGCUUUCCUCCAUGGAUAGAACACUCUGCAAAACAUUUGCCGUUCUAAAUGAGUAUUCACGAUGCAGGAAAAUUACAGAGCUUCACGGGCACCGUUCAACGAAGGUCGAACUCUUGAGAUCAUGACAGCAACCACAGCGAAGCCCUAAUGACAUGAAUAAGCGUUUAAAGUGACCUCUGGUUUGUUAAAAAAGAAGGAUAAAUGGUAUAUACUUCGGCAGGUGAAAGGUCGUAUCCAAAUCCAAUGUGGGCCAGGAAAGUCACGAUGACUGCGAUGAUGGGCACGACGGGCGUGAGUGCGACACUAGCAGAUUGAACGUAGGCCGUGGAUUCAAGAAAACGUUUUUCCUUUUCUCUGAUUUCUUUGAAUUACAUAAAAAGACAUCGAUUAGCAAGAAUGUACAAAAGACAAUGAGAUUUUCGAAAUAAUUUUCACUUUUAAUGCUUUUGGAGAACGGCUUUUCCCAGGCGUACAUCUUGAUCAGUUUGAUGCAGAUUAACAGCUCGUUCAUAAGUUGAACCCUCUGAUCUGUGGCGCUUAACGUUCGACGACGGAAGUAUCCGGU